CCUACGGGUGGCAGCAGUGAGGAAUAUUGGUCAAUGGACGCAAGCCUGAACCAGCCAUGCCGCGUGCAGGAAGACGGCUCUACGAGUUGUAAACUGCUUUUGUACGAGGGUAAACGCAGAUACGCGUAUCUGUCUGAAAGUAUCGUACGAAUAAGGAUCGGCUAACUCCGUGCCAGCAGCCGCGGUAAUACGGAGGAUUCAAGCGUUAUCCGGAUUUAUUGGGUUUAAAGGGUGCGUAGGCGGUCGGAUAAGUUAGUGGUGAAAUCCCGAGGCUCAACUUCGGAAUUGCAUUUGAUACUGUUCGGCUAGAGAGUAGUUGCGGUAGGCGGAAUGUAUGGUGUAGCGGUGAAAUGCUUAGAGAUCAUACAGAACACCGAUUGCGAAGGCAGCUUACCAAGCUACUUCUGACGUUGAGGCACGAAAGCGUGGGGAUCAAACAGGAUUAGAUACCCGUGUAGUC
rnacentral:rRNA from 1 species